AAACGACUCUCGGCAACGGAUAUCUCGGCUCUCGCAUCGAUGAAGAACGCAGCGAAAUGCGAUACUUGGUGUGAAUUGCAGAAUCCCGUGAACCAUCGAGUCUUUGAACGCAAGUUGCGCCCGAAGCCACUAGGCCGAGGGCACGCCUGCCUGGGCGUCACGCA
rnacentral:rRNA from 1 species